AUGAAGGGAAAGGAGACGGGUUACGCGCCAAGGGCCUCCCGCGAAACUCGGAUUUCCCGCCCUCUUUUCAAACCAAAUUUGCAUAGCCACGCCCCCGGGGCGCGCCCCGCCCGCUCCGCCGCCCCAUUGGCCGCCGCCGCCGCCCCCGCCGGCCAACGGGCCGCCGCCGCCACGCCCCGCCCGCUCCCCACUGGCCCGGCCGCCGCCGCGAUUUGCAUGCUGCCCGCGGAUUGGCCGCGGGGGCGAGGCUGGGGAUUCCCCCUCGGACGGGCCGGGAUCCCGGUUCGCCGCCCGCCUGACACUGACAGCUGCGGCGGCGCCCGCCGCAACGUGCCCGGGGGCGGGGCCUGGCGGGGCCACGCCCCCCCCCCCGCAGCCACGCCCCCGCCGCGCCACGCCGGGCUUGGCGCGCCCGCGCUGGACCCGGUCUCGUUCCGGAUCCCGAUCCCGAUCCCGGUCCCGGUGCCGGUGCCGGGUUCCCAGGCGGUACCCCUGCACCGUGGGUGCCUAGGUGGGAAAAGGGCGUCCCUCGUUCUGGGCGCGUUUGUCGUCAGAGGGGGAUAUUCUCCUCCAUUUGGCUCGGGAGAGGCCCUGAUUGUGCUCCCGCACGCGAUUGCUGGCACUGCACAUGAGGAAAGAUACAGGCUGGACGGAAUCCAGAGGGAAAGAAGAGGAAUGAAACACGGUCAGAGAAACGUGCGCUACCACAAGGAACCAUUAGACCCAAACCUAUGGAAAAAAGAAAAGUCUUUUGGAGCAGCAAGACAAAGCAGAAAAACGUUGCUUCCUUCAAAUUCUCUCCACAUUGAGGAGGCACGGGCUUCAACCACAAACAUCUUCAGUCUUCUUCUGGGUUGCCUUUUAUUGUCUUCCUGUGUCGUGCUGUCUUGCAUCUUCAGCACUCCUGCUUUCCGAGCUGUGAUCCUAGGAGCGUGGAGUUCGAUGAAGAUGUGGCUGUCUCAGCUGCCUACAGCACAGGCAGGACAGUGGAGUCUGGUGGCCAAAGAGAAAAUCGCAUCCGCCAUGAUCACCCCUUCCACCGGUGAGGUCUUCAGCAAGCAGCUCUGGCCUUAUAGCUUCUGUUCCAUGUGCACAACAGCCCCACGCAUGUUUCUUCGUGGCUGAACCCCAGCUGGACGUAGUGCUUGCAAGCUCCCGACAGCAGUCCCUGUAUUGUAUUGACUCUAGAAGCGAUGUUAACAGUAUCAAUGUUUUCUCUUGUUGCUCUGGCUCCGGGCUGUGCUUUGUUUGUUGGGGUGCUGAUGCAGAGCCAAGUUUCCUCAUAUGUAGAGCUAAGGGUUGGUAUGAGUAAGGUAAGGUUGAGAAACUGGGGCAGUGCCAGUUGUCCACUCUCCAGGACCCCUCUAUACAAAAUGCAUGCAGGGGUGAUACUAUCUGUCCCCCAAAUCAGCGGAAGAACCAGCUGCAGAUGCAGCUGGAGCAGACAGCUACAGGAACAGCUGCUGAUCAGUCUCUUGAUCUCAGUUUUAAUAUACACCAAGGUCCCUUUUGUCUGUUUUUCUUAUUAUUUACUUAGGUUGGCCUUUCUCAGAACGUCCUCCCACCAAACCAUGACAUUUCCUGCAAUGACUUCAUAGCACUUGGUUUUGCUUUGGUAUCACCAGUCUUUAUCUCUUUAAAAUAAAAAACAUUCUCUUUGCA
ensembl:lncRNA